UGAUUUACUUGGGCAGAACCACUUAAUCACUGGGUAUUGGCUUUGCAGUCCCGAUCUACAAGCAGAGUGUGGCCCAAAUGCUGCGUGUAUCUUUAGAAGGUUUUUAAGACAAAGGGAAUGGCCCUAAAGGAGCUGAAAAGCAUGAGGAGACCACUCUAGACCUCAAAGGAGAUGCAAGGUUGUGGAAGAUUAAAGCUGCUGAAAAUAAAGAGAGAAAGGAUUCUUUCAAGAAAGAAGAGGCAGAAUGAUAAUUCUCUUAAGCUGUCUCGUGAGCAUCCCUAACACAGCAGAGAUAUCAAGCUGAUAAUAUAAAUUCAAGACAAAAUGUCUGAACACUCAUCAGAAACUGUCUUUUAGUUUGCGGAGAAAUUUGUG
rnacentral:lncRNA from 1 species